GUCGAGAAUCUUUCACAAUGGGGGCAACCCUGAUGGAGCGACGCCGCGUGGAGGAUAAGGUCUUCGGAUUGUAAACUCCUGUCAUGUGUGAACAAGGUUGCUUGGUUAAUACCUGGGCAAAUUGAUGGUAACGCAAGAGGAAGAGACGGCUAACUCUGUGCCAGCAGCCGCGGUAAUACAGAGGUCUCAAGCGUUGUUCGGAAUCACUGGGCGUAAAGAGUGCGUAGGUGGCGUGGUAAGUCAGAUGUGAAAGCCCGGGGCUCAACCUCGGAAAUGCAGUCGAUACUGCCAUGCUAGAGUACAGGAGAGGUGAGUAGAAUUCUCGGUGUAGCAGUGAAAUGCGUAGAUAUCGAGAGGAAUACCAAAGGCGUAGGCAGGUCACUGGACAGUUACUGACACUGAGGCACAAAGGCCAGGGGAGCGAACGGGAUUAGAAACCCUUGUAGUCC
rnacentral:rRNA from 1 species